rnacentral:rRNA from 1 species
UACGUAGGGUGCGAGCGUUGUCCGGAAUUAUUGGGCGUAAAGGGCUCGUAGGCGGUUUGUCGCGUCGGGAGUGAAAUCAUCUGGCUUAACUGGGUGCUUGCUUUCGAUACGGGCAGACUAGAGGUAUGCAGGGGAGAACGGAAUUCCUGGUGUAGCGGUGAAAUGCGCAAAUAUCAGGAGGAACACCGGUGGCGAAGGCGGUUCUCUGGGCAUGACCUGACGCUGAGGAGCGAAAGUGUGGGGAGCGAACAGG